rnacentral:antisense_RNA from 1 species
CACCAUCUCCGGACGCAAGGCUUUCGCAUUCAGCUUGAGGAGCUAAACCAUUUCAAGCUAAGGUCUCUUCACAGAUUAGGAUAAAGGAUGAAGAGAAGUAAACUGAAUUACUAAGGAUGCAACAUUAAUGGAGAGAGCCAAGUGAUGUAAAUGGUGGCUGGCCACGAGUGGAUCUUGAGUGAAAGUUAGCUAGAGAAAUUCCACGUGGCUGAUCCAGGAUGGAUUAGGCUGCCAAUGACUCUCUUUCUCCCUCAAGCUGGAAUCCUGCCCCUUUAACACCUUUCCAGAGAGAGGCAACCCAUGGAGGGUCACAGCAAGAUGGGAUGGUUGUGCCUGGUAGUAAAAAUAUGUAUCACCCUUCAUUUCAUCCAGCUUUGAAGCUUCUGCUAGCAGCUCACACAUGCCCCCAAGGGCAGCUCCUCAAAUCUGCUAAAGAAAAGUUAAGUAGAAUUAAUUUUGUUCAAUAUCUCCCAUUUUGUGAGAUUCAUCAUUUUCAGUCAAGAAUGACAAUAUUAAUGGAACCAAAAGAAUAUAUACUAUUAACAUUUCGUCUUAAUUCUACAAAUGUCUAAAAGUCUCUGCAAUUCCCUUAAAAAUAAAAAAAAAUGCAAUAUUAAUUUA